UUAUCACGCGAGAUUUCCGGUCUUCUUCUCCAGGCCGUAGAUAAGCGCGAGCAACUUUCUUGACUCUCGCCAUGCAGUUCAUUUUUGUUAAAUUAUAUUCAUGUAUACAUGUUGAGGUUGCUGCUGGUGACCCACCGUGAGCAGGUUUGGAUGAUGCAGAGGGAUUCGUUUGUCUGCCUGCAACAGGGCGAAGUUUCAUUUUCUGAUUGAAGAUUCGUGGCUCAUCUGUUCUCCUUUCCACUGAGUGCCUAAGGAAGGAACCACAGUCAGAAGGUGCUGUAGCAGCAGAAGAAAGGAUGAAGAUUUUCUGGGCUUGAAGACAGCAGGUCCUGAGCAGAUUGAGCUGCUGUGGAAGGACGGAAUACCAACCUCAAGUGUGAUGCCAGAGGAGACUAUUAAAUUCAGUAUUUGUCUUUAUGAAAGAUGAAAACCAUGUUGGAUCAGAAACGUGUUUUUUAAUAAAACUACGAGUUAUAAAAUUGAAGUAUAGAAAGUAACGUGAUUCCAUAUGUGCUGGGAGGAAAGCCC